rnacentral:rRNA from 1 species
GAAUUUUAUAUAAAUUUAUUAUAAAAUAUUAAUUAAAGAUUUGUUAAGUUUAUAUUUUAUUGGGAGGAUGAGUAAAUUUUAAAAACUUUAAAUGUAAUGAGAUCAUUAAUUUAUGAUGUAAAAAAUUAAAAAGAGUGACUUGUGUUAAGUUUAAUAAGAAUUAAUUACCUUAGGGAUAACAGCAUAAUAUUUUUAGAAAGAUCUUAUUAAUAAAGAUGAUUGU